rnacentral:rRNA from 1 species
CCGACACGGGGAGGUAGUGACAAGAAAUAAGAUGGUUACGUCCUUUGUGGCGGAACUUUUCCGAUGAGUGUAAUGUAAAUGCCUAUGCGAGUAUCCAUUGGAGGGCAAGUCUGGUGCCAGCAGCCGCGGUAAUUCCAGCUCCAAUAGCGUAUAUUAAUGUUGUUGCAGUUAAAAAGCUCGUAGUUGGAUAUCUGGCCUUUGCGUUGACGACCCGCCCUCUUUUGGGAUGUGUGUUGGAGACGUGGGUCUAUCUUCCGGUUGGUGGCUGUUCCACUUUAUUGGGGCGCAGUUCGCGAUCCGGAUCGUUUACUUUGAAAAAAUUCGAGUGUUCAUAGCAGGCUUACGCCGUGAAGAUCGCAGCAUGGAAUAAUAACAUAGGACUUGGUGUUCUA